CCUGAGGCCUCCAACCCACACCUGUGCCCAUGGGCAGAUGCUUUAUUUAUACCCUAGACCGGUCUUUGUUCUCUGGCUGUCUGAGCUGUGUUGUAAGUGUUUGUCUUCAGAAAUAGUUGUAAUGUAGCUGUGCUUGUGGAUGAGGGUCUACCUUAAGAUUUCUAGGUGUGAAGCCCAGUGGAAAGUGGUUGUGUUUACUACUCACACUGCACCAUCUUCGAUGGCUUUGUUUCUAUUUGUGCUUUUUGGACAAGCAUUAAGCUCCGUAGACAAUCAGGCAAAUGAAGAGCGUUGUUCUGGAAGCUGCCAAGAAAAAGGACAGGAAAUUGACAAGAGAUGAAUUGCUUCUUUUCUGCGUGGAGGAGGGAACAUUUUCUAGAGUCUGAUACUUGUGGAAAAAAAAAAAGUUUUUGCAUCCAGUCCAUAUUGGAUGUUAGUUGUAAGUACUCUUUUCCUCUGUUUUUAAUGUUUUCAGGUAAAGUUCAUGUGAAACUCUGAGCAAGAAGUUGCACAAAUUAUAGGAGUUGCACAUUUUGUAUUUUUGUGAGUUUGUAACAGCUAUGAGUUAUCAAUUCCAUGCCUCUGAGCGGAGGGCAAGUUCUCAGAGUAGUGCAGGUACCCAAUUUACUGCAUAUGCAGGGAUUUUUGAAGGUAGACUUUCUGAUAGACCGUGUUCUCCAUGGCUUAAACCAGUAAAUAGAAUGCUAUGAAUAUUUGAAGAGGUAAUAAACUCCAGAAGGUUCUCUUGCUUCUCCUAACA
rnacentral:lncRNA from 1 species